GACGAACGCUGGCGGCGUGCCUAAUACAUGCAAGUAGGACGCAGUUGCGAACGGGUGAGUAACGCGUAGGUAACUACCUAUUAGAGGGGGAUAACUAUUGGAAACGAUAGCCAAUACCGCAUACUAAUAGAUGGACCUGCGUUGUAUUAGCUAGUAGGUAGGGUAAUGGCCUACCUAGGCAACGAUACAUAGCCGAGCUGGGGGGUGGGUCGGCAAGACGGGAACUGAGGAACGGGCCAGAAUGCGACGGGCGGCCUCAGUAGGGAAUCUGCGGCAAUGUGGGGAACCCUGAGCGGGGAACGCCGCGUGAGUGAAGAGGGUUGUCGGAUUGUAGAGCUCUGUUGGUAAGGAAGCGGUACUUAACCAGGAAGGGACGGCUAACUACGUGCCAGCAGCCGCGGUAAUAC
rnacentral:rRNA from 1 species